AAAAACCAAAUUUUGGCACCUUGAAUUGGAGGCAAAGUAGUAUUGUUAGGUUUAGUUAUUAUUGUUCUAUUUAUCGUUCUUUCGUGCUUUGUCACGUAUCAUCUCUAAACUUUAACAUUUUAUUGAACAAUUUUUGUGGGCCCGAAGUGAGGAGGCAAAGAGGGUAAAUUGGGUGGAAUAGGUGAGAAAGAAAUAUAAGGGUUGGAUUUAAAAAAUCUCAGAUUUAAGUAUAGCUUUAUUAAGGAAAUGGGUGAGAGUAAAACAAGAGAAAAAUAGGUUAUGGUAUAAGAUUCUCAAGCACAAAUAUGGGAGAAAUUGAAGACGGUGGGAGGAUGUGAUUGAGUUUGUGGAGGAUGUACAAAGAAUAGGAGAAGAUAGUUGAGGAGGAAAUGGUUGCUAUCGGCGAUUAAGAAGCAAGUCGAAAUUGGAAUAGACACUUGGUUUUGGAGGAUAAUUAGGUGAGUGAGGGGGACCUUAAAAGAAAGAUAUCUUAUAUUGUUCUCUAUUGUGGCAAGGAAGGAGGAGAGAUAAGCUGGCAUCAUAAAGUAUGAGAAUGGAGUUUGGGAGUGGGAGCUUAGAUGGAGGCGAAAAUGGUUUCAAUGGAAGUUAGAGAUGGGGGAAGCAUUGAAGGAGAUGUGUAAGGUGGUGAGUCGAGUAGUUUGGAGUCGACAAAAGAGAUAUGAUGAAAUCAUUAUAUAAAAUUUUGAGAAAGGGUAGUGGCGAGGAGAGGAAAAGUUCAAGUAUGCUAGUGGGGUACAAAAUAAUACCACUAAAGGUAGAUAAAAUUAUGGCAACUCAUUCAAAAGUCAAUCCCAACAAAAGGAUAACUUGGCUAAGACAUGUAUUAUUGCGAUUGACGAGUUAACUUGCUCAUCUGGUUGUAUGUGAUAGAAAAUUUGUUGGGAUUAUCUGAAAAUUUUCAUAACGAGGGAUGAGAUUAUACACGUUUGAAGCUUCUGGGGUUCAACGUUACGAGGAAGAGCAAUGAAUUCUAAAUUUUGCACAACUUGGUUCGUGUGUGUUUAGUCGAUUUGGAAAGUAAGAAAUUAACAAAUUUUUCAAAAAAAAGAAAUUUCAAAGGAAAAGAUUGUUGAGCAAACACAAGUUUUGGCUUGGGAAUGGUUGAAGGCAAAGAAAAUAAGCUUUGACGUCAAUACUGGGAUGUGGUUUUGAAAUUUGUUGGCGUGUAUGGAAGUAAAAACAGCGUUGGGAUAAUGGUCAUUUAGCUUAUAUGAUUAGAAUGGUGGUAUGAGGGGGUAUAUGUGGGGGUCACAAGAUAGAGAUUUGGUUACUAGUACUACUACUAGAGGACAAUUUAGUUUGGCACUUUGGAGGAAUAUUAUAAUGAUUGAGCUAUAGGGGGCACGAUUUGGAAUCUUACAAGUAAUGGAUGGACUUUAAAUUAGAGUAAAUUGAUAGUGGCAUUACCUUACACUAUGUUUGGUUUGAUAGAACUAGGGAACAGAGAGUUAGAGAAGAGAGAGAAGAGAUUAAUAACUUCUUCUGUUUGGACAACAAAGAAAUAGAGAAUAAAGAAAACUAAAAUAUGGGAUCCAUAUCUUUUCCAUUUCUUCUCUAAGCGGCGAAGAAAGAAGAAAGAAAUAGGCUUAACACAUUUUUAAUUCCUAGAUUGCCAUUGCAAUUUUUCUUUUGGCGCUAAUAUUUCCGGCUUCCUCUCCCACUUUCCUUUUUCUUCUCCUCUCCCUCCUUCCUCUUUCUCCAUCUCUCCAUUUUCUUCUUGCAACUUCAUCUUGUAUCUAUCAUUCUCAAAUCUUUACACCACAUCAAGACCAAAUCUGAAGUCAUAACAUCAAAUUGAGAAAUCAAAUUUGAGGAAAAACCACUUGCCAAAUGGAAAACCAUGCAAAUCAAGCAUUAUGAUAGUUUGAAGGAGCUUUUUGGGUUAGAUCGAGCUGUAGGCCAAAAAUCUUCUACUUCUAAGAUGCGAAACAAUCGUUUGGAAAAGGAAAGGGAAAAGGAAAAAGAAAGGGAAAAGGACAAUGCUGAUCUAAAUGACUCAAUUGAUGAUAGUUACAUUGCUGACAACAUGCUGAUAUAUUUGAUGAAGGGCGAGAAGAACCUCCCAUUGUUGACUCGUAUAGUCCAACUUUUAUAUAAUCACAUCAGUCUACAGGGACAUCUAGUUCUCAUGGAACAAAGCGUAAGGCUCUGAUGAAUGAUUUGUGGAGGCUAAAUUGGAGAGAAUGACAAGUGGCAUUGGACUUGUAGUUGCUGCAUUGAAUAAAGUGCUGAAUUUUGGUGAAGAAUCAACAUGAUGUAUGUGGAGUAUUUCAGCCAUAUCUG